CUAUGCAUAAAUGUUAUGUCUAAAAUAUAUAAAUACGCUUUGCACACAUAAUAUAUCCAUAUGAUCAUAUUUGUUUAUCUUUCAGCUUACCGCUGGACGCAACAGCUGUUGAAAAAAUUGAUUUACCAAAUGAAGAUCAGACUCAUGUAGCUUUUGAAGAAAAGAAUCUGUUACAGCUGAACGACAUAGAUCCUUUUACUCAAAAGGGUGAACGAUAUCAAUGCACUGUAACGAUCAUAGGAAUACCAGAUAAACAACUUUGGUGCUAUCGUGCUUGUCGCACAUGCUCAGCAAAAAUGAUUUCAACAUCUGAUGGAUUCCAGUGUACAAAGGAUGGAGGCUGCCCUUCAAAACAAUUUGAAUGGAAGUACAAAAUACCAUUUAUAGUUGCAGACAACACAUUUAGUCUUGAGUUUAUGAUGUUCGAAAGAAGAGCUACUGAACUUAUUGGUAAGAGUGCUGAAACAUUAAGGAAAUACAAUGAUCCAGAUAUAAUUCCAAGCGACAUUUCAUAAUGGAUUGGCCACAAGUUCACAUUUGUCGUAAGGAUUCUACAUAAAAAGAGUAUGAGGACUGAACAUCCAUCAUUUGAGGUCCUGUUGAUAAAAGAACGCCAUGGAAAGCAGGAAGUACUCCCAUUAUUAACCACUCAAUUAUGUGCACAAGGAUCAGGAACAUCAUCAGCUUUG